rnacentral:rRNA from 1 species
CCCUGCCAUUUGUACACACCGCCCGUCGCUCCUACCGAUUGAGUGUGUUGGUGAGGGGCUCGGAUUGGCAGCAGUCGGCGGUGUUCCGCUUGUUGCUGUCGAGAAGUCCUCCAAACCGCCCCACUUAG